GAUUUCUGGUACGGCGCGCCUGGCCCGCCCCGGUUACGGGGUUGUGUGCCGACGUGCGCCUGCCAUCCUUCUAGAGAUUGGUUCUGCCCUUUACUGGGUGGGAAUCAGUAUCUAGAUCUUUUACUUUGAAAAAAUUAGAGUGUUUAAAGCAGGCAUUUGCUAUGAAUACAUUAGCAUGGAAUAAUAAUUUAGGACUUUGGUCUCUAUUUUGUUGGUUUCUAGGACUAAAGUAAUGAUUGAUAGGGAUAGUUGGGGGUGCUAGUAUUCAGCGGCCAGAGGUGAAAUUCUUGGAUUCGCUGAAGACUAACUUAUGCGAAAGCAUU
rnacentral:rRNA from 3 species